GACUCGGUAGCUCAGCUGGAUAGAGCAACGGCCUUCUAAGCCGUCGGUCGGGGGUUCGAAUCCCUUCCGAGUCGCCA
rnacentral:tRNA from 2 species